AGCUUGAGAGUGAACUGCAGGAAGCUAAGAUAGAAACCCAAGUAAGGAGAAAAAAAUACUGGACAAGGCCUGCUCUUUCUUUUUUGUGUGUCUAUAAAGUGGCCAUCCUCACUGAGAGAAUAGGCAGGGUCUCCUCCCUUCCUAUUGUUCUUUGCCUCUAAGGAAGGAAACCCUCGUGGUCCCUCUGUCAUACUGCACAAAGUGCUAUGCUAUUGUUUGUACUCCUGAAAGUUUCUGGAAUGUUACAAAGUGCAGCCCCGAAUUCAGACAAUUAGAAUGCCCUUCGUAGAGUGCAUACAGAGUUCCACUUCUUUUUAGCUGUCUUUGGAACCUGUGAGUUGGACCACAUUGUCUGACUUGAUCACAGUUAAAACCAGUUGCUUGCAUUCACUUCAGUGGAAUGUGGAAUCUUU
rnacentral:lncRNA from 1 species